UAUCAACUUGAAACACCGGUUCCCGUAAGAUCAUCGAAAUUAAGCAACGUUGAGUCUGGUCUUUACCUGGAUGGGCGACCGCCUGAGAAUACCAGGUUCUGUAAG